rnacentral:rRNA from 1 species
GACGAACGCUGGCGGCGUGCUUAACACAUGCAAGUCGAACGGAAAGGCCCUGCUUUUGUGGGGUGCUCGAGUGGCGAGCGGGUGAGUAACACGUGAGUAACCUGCCCUUGACUUUGGGAUAACUUCAGGAAACUGGGGCUAAUACCGGAUAGGAGCUCCUGCUGCAUGGUGGGGGUUGGAAAGUUUCGGCGGUUGGGGAUGGACUCACGGCUUAUCAGCUUGUUGGUGGGGUAGUGGCUUACCAAGGCUUUGACGGGUAGCCGGCCUGAGAGGGUGACCGGCCACAUUGGGACUGAGAUACGGCCCAGACUCCUACGGGAGGCAGCAGUGGGGAAUAUUGCACAAUGGGCGGAAGCCUGAUGCAGCAACGCCGCGUGCGGGAUGACGGCCUUCGGGUUGUAAACCGCUUUCGCCUGUGACGAAGCGUGAGUGACGGUAAUGGGUAAAGAAGCACCGGCUAACUACGUG